AAUUGUAGAUAAAAAGUGAAAAUUUGGUUUAUUUUGGGACGGAGGGAGUAUUUGACAUCGCAUACCUACCGAGGCCUUUCCAUUUGAGAUCUUCAAGCAGGCUUUUGUCUUGUUUUGUCCAUUUUCAGGUGUGGGCACCAACCAAAUUCUAGACUGCACCUCAACUACGGAUUUGUUGACGAAGACAAUCCAUAUGAUCGCAUAGCAUCCCUAAACACAGAAGAUCCUCAAAUCCAAGAGAAAAGAAUGGUUGCUCAAAUAAAUGAAAAUCUAGCUAUCCAAAAUGCUGCCCUAUUUGAGGCUAGGAUAUUUUCAGAUCCAGAUGAAAUGCAAGCCAUACUUCCAGAGAAGGAAAUAGUUAUCAAUUAUGUAGUGCUUUUGUUGGACAUGCCCCUUGCUGCUAGAACAUGAUAAUGUGCUGAUUUGUGGCCUUGUGAUAGCUACAUAUUUAUAUGGUUGUGUUCUAUUAUUUGUCUUAUCCCCAUAUAAUUAUGUGCUGAUUUGUGAAUAUGUAUUUUGGAGAUGAUUACGCAAUUUGGC